UCAAGAGAGAGAGAUCAUAACUUCUAUUUUAGGCUAGGAAGCAUACACUCAAUUGUCACAGGAUGAAACCUGCUCUUUUCUCCGUACUCUGUGAGAUCAAGGAGAAAACUGUCCUUAGUUUGAGAAAUUGUACAGACGAUGAACCCCCAGAUCCUCAGCUUAUGAGAUUAGAUAACAUGCUCAUAGCAGAGGGCGUUUCAGGUCCUGAGAAGGGAGGAGGAGCAUCAGCCGCAGCCAGUGCAGCUGCAGCAGCAAACUCAGAAGCUACCAUAGAACAUUCCGAUUACAGAGCUAAACUCACGCAAAUUAGGACGAUCUAUAACCAGGAGCUGGAGAAGUAUGAUCAGGCGUGCAAUGAGUUCACAACACACGUGAUGAACCUACUGAGAGAGCAGAGCAGAACCCGACCCAUUACACCUAAAGAGAUUGAGAGAAUGGUGCAAAUUAUUCACAAAAAGUUCAGUUCUAUCCAGGUUCAACUGAAGCAGAGUACCUGUGAGGCCGUGAUGAUCCUAAGAUCUAGGUUCCUGGACGCUAGACGGAAACGGAGAAAUUUCAGUAAGCAAGCUUCUGAAAUCCUAAACGAGUAUUUCUACUCCCACCUGGCGAACCCCUACCCUAGCGAGGAGGCGAAGGAGGAGCUGGCCAGGAAGUGCGGGAUAACGGUGUCCCAGGUUAACAACUGGUUUGGAAAUAAGAGGAUCAGAUACAAGAAGAACAUCACCAAGGCCCAGGAAGAGGCAAAUAUGUACGCCGCCAAGGCAGCUGCGGCGGCCGGCGGAGAUUCUCCCGGUCCUAUCCUUUCUCCGGGUAGUGAGUGGGGUGGAGGUGGAAUGCAUUUUCCUGGUUCUCCAGGCUUCCCUGGAUACUAGAGACUCCAGAUCAUCUUCAUACAGUAUUCUCAGUUCCCCGAGAAUGCAAUCUCAACUAGCUCUGGACAAGAAUAUUUGCCAGCAAAAAUCUUAUAUCUCUCUCUCUCGUGACGUAAUACAGAAAAGCAUAAACAAAGUUACCGUAUUCUAUCUGACCUGUGAACCAGUGAGUUAAGCCCAGUUUAUAACAAAGGGUGAACUUUUACACCCAACCAUUGAAAAUAUGACUCAAGAAAAUUUAAAUAUCAGGAAUAAAAACGCUCAAUUUAUUAACGCCUCGUAGACAGCUGCGGUAAGACACGCUAGAUAUUUCCUGUUAAUUUGAAUUUUCUUGGUUAAACUCUAAAUCUAUGCAGUUGUAAGAAAAUUUCUAAUAUGAAUGAACUCCUCCGCUGGAAUUAAACCAACAUGAAAACUGUUAUGAAAUAUUUCCUGUUCCAGAAGUUCUAGGCAACUGUGUAUAGUUCUCAAUUUAAAGUGUAAUCUUAGCAUAUUAAAUAUGUUGUAUAUUUCCUUUCGUGUUUACCAAAUUCACCAAAUGUAUUAUGUAUUCCAUCUUAUAUUUAUUAUGUAAGAUAAUUUGUAAUAAAGUUUCUUUCAACGCUCAA
rnacentral:misc_RNA from 1 species